UGGACUGAAAGAAGGGGACAGAAGCUCAAAUAAUUGCCUCUACCAAAUGAUCCAAAGGAUGUUUCUAUUGGUUUUUAGGCCACAGGGACAUGAGAAAUGUCAGCUGGGGCAGACCCAGGAAAGCUUGGACCAGUGGCCCCUUUGCUUCCAGGUGCUGAGGGACACCUCAGGAGGACACUGUUGUCGCCUCUGUGAUCAAGUCCAAAAGAGAGCUCUAUCUGCAGGCCGUCUUCAAAGCAGAGCCACCACGCUCAGCUAACCGUCUGUAUUUUAUUCAUCCAGGUGAACCAGCUUCCAUUUGUCCCAAAUGACUGCUGUUUUCCCGGAAGGACCAGACACCUCCCAGAGGCAGGCCUCAUCUGGAGCCAGGGCCUCAUCUCCACUCUUGGGUGGAGGCCAAAUGAAUCCUCUGGCAACAUGUUGGUCUCAUUUUGAGCUGAGGCUUGAUUUGGCCGAGAAAUGGCCUGGGAGUCGGCCCCGCGUUCUCUGCCUGGGACUGGGCAAGAGGUAGGAUUCAUCGGAACACAGCUUUCUCCGUGAAAUGAUGAGAUUUCCGGGGCAGCAGGUGGGAUGCGGCUCCCGUGGGAGAAAGGACACGGCUACCUGCUUUUGGAAGUGAUGGAGGAAGCGUCUCGGGGCCUCGCUGGGGAGAUGGGUCCCCAGAUUUUGCCCCCAUCCUUCUAGCCUGCUACAGGGAUCACAGACAACUGCCCGAGGUGACCAAGUCUCAAAAAGUAAGAAAGGAUUGGUCUUUAGAAAGCACGUGUGUUAUAUAAAAG